ensembl:lncRNA
CCUGUGUUCAGACGCUGUGUUCAUCAGCCCCUCUCUGGCCAGAUAUCCAGGUGUCUCUGCUGUCCUCCUCAGGCUCUUCUGGGGGGUCUGGCCUCCUCCUCUGAGCCGCAGCUUCACUGAGGCCACAGCACCGAUCAGCAGCAGCAGCCCAAAGCCCACCAGUGAAGCCCUCACUCUGUAGAACAUGGAGCCAACUCCAAAAGGAUCCUCGCAUAUCAGAUCCUCACGGAUGCCCCUGAAUACCACUGAAGAACUGAGGUGCAACUGUAGAAUCAGAUCAUCCAGCUCCAGACCUUGAGACCACUCGUUGACCAAGAAGAAGUCUGACUCUCGGGAUCGCAUGUGAGAACAGCGGUGUCACCCACCGAGCACCUCACGUAUGUAGAGCUCAGCUCAGAGCAGACCCAGUAAAUGGUGUGCGUUGAGGUGGAUGACCUUCUGGAGCGCAGCAAUAUCUCCCAGUGUGCUGUGGCUCGACUGCUGGAAUGAUCAGAAGGUAAUUUCUAAUGUCAACGUACAGAUCGUCCUCUUCCGGAGGAGUGGCCUUAAAUGGCAAUCCUAACUGAACUUCAUAAGAGAAGGGAAUCUUGGUGAGGGAACCAGUCUACAGGUCCGCUCACAAGAGGAUGGCAGGCGAGAGCGAAUCUGCGUCCUUUCUUCAGGAAGUGGAUAAAUGAUGAUGAUGUCUGUUCAAACAGAACUUUUUAACUUCCAUUUUGUCUGCACAAACAGUCACGUUAUAAAAUACCCUCUCUCCAAGUUCGCCAUUAGUCCAGGUCUCUGCCGUGUACUUACCGCUGUCCUAUAGAGAGAGGUUCCUCAGUACAAAACAAUGGGAUGCGUCCCAUGGUGUUAAAUAGACACAGCUCGCUCUGUCAGACUGCUUUGAGUCUGAACACUGUGACGGGUCAGAUGAGUUCUUCAGGAAGAGUCGUCCCUUUCCGGUCCAUCUGUAAACGAACGCUGUGAUGUUUAUCGGGACUCCCGCGGCCGACAGGUAGAGUUGGGAAUGCAGCUUCUUCCCCCUGGACUCCGAACAUGACCUCAUUCCUCAUGCUGGGAGCAGGAUGAACGCUGGAUAUG